AGGGUUCAAGUUAUAAAAUCUCGAAUUACAGGUUGCAGAAGGAAAAGCGGCGCAGCCAGAGUAAAACAGAAAAUAAAACUGAAGCAAAAACUCAAUGUCGACCGGAUGUCUUAGGACAGAACCCUAAGACAUCUAUUUAUACAAAACGAAAUAAAAUGAUCGUAGACGGGCCAAUAACCUAAUCGCCCGACCCAUAGAGUGAUAAUGGGCCGAGAUGGGCUUCGUGAUCCGAUGGAGCUCCAAGCCGCUUCCAAACACUUCUUCUUCUCCUCUUUUCUUCAUUGUGCUCAGCU
rnacentral:sRNA from 1 species